rnacentral:rRNA from 1 species
AUUGAACGCUGGCGGCAUGCUUUACACAUGCAAGUCGAACGGCAGCGCGGGCUUCGGCCUGGCGGCGAGUGGCGAACGGGUGAGUAAUGCAUCGGAACGUGCCCAGCAGUGGGGGAUAACACGGCGAAAGCCGGAUUAAUACCCCAUACGACCUGAGCGUGAAAGCGGGGGACCCAAAGGCCUCGCGCUAUUGGAUCGCCCCAUGUCGGAUUUGCUAGUUGGUGGGGUAAAGGCUUACCAAGGCGACGAUCCGUAGCUGGUCUGAGAGGACGACCCGCCACACUGGGACGGAGACACGGCCCAGACUCCUACGGGAGGCAGCAGUGGGGAAUGUUGGACAAUGGGGGCAACCCGGAUCCAGCCAUGCCGCGUGCGGGAAGAGGGCGUUCGGGUUGUAAACCGCAUUUGUUCGGGAAGAAAUCCUCUGGGCUAAUACCCCGGGGGGAUGACGGUACCGGAAGAAGAAGCACCGGCUAACUACGUG